GGUGGGGUGCGGGAGUCCGGUUUAUCCGACCUGUCUUGAAAACAGGCGUCCAUCUUAGAUGGGCCGUGAGUUCGAAUCUCACCCCCACCGCCA
rnacentral:tRNA from 1 species